CGGGUGUUUUUUGGGUGUUUUUUGGGUGUUUUUGGGUGUUUUUUGGGUGUUUUUUGGGUAUUUUUGGGUGUUUUCUCCUUGUUUCAGCGAGGGAUUUGCACGAUGCCAUGAAGGGGACGCACACGCGGGGACAUCACGCUCACGGGGACACCAGCCGCGGGGACAAAGGGACACUUUUUUGGGGGGGUUUGGGGGUGGUUUGGGGACAGGUUUGGGGACCUGCCACCCCCCCCGUCACCUGGCGUUGUCACCUCCCCACGCUCUGCCCUGCGGGAGUGACACCGAGAUUUGGGGACAAAGUGGGGUUGGGGACACCGAGGUGGGGACAUCGGGGUUGGACUAAGGACAGCAAUGUCAUUUUUGGGGGUGUCACCAAGGAGGGUGGCAUUGUCACCUCCCCAUGUCACUUUUGGGGUUGUCGCCAAGGGGGUGGCGUUGUCACCUUUAUAUGGGUGUCCCCAAAGGGGUGGCACUGUCACCUCCCCAUGUGGGUGUCCCCGAAAGGGGUGGCAUUGUCACCUUUAUAUGGGUGUCCCC